rnacentral:miRNA from 1 species
UGUGUGUGUGUGUGUGUGUGUGUGUGUGUGUGUGUGUGUGAGUGUAUGUAUACAUACAUACAUACAUACACACAC